rnacentral:rRNA from 1 species
UACAGAGGAGCCAAGCGUUGUCCGGAUUGACUGGGCGUAAAGCGCACGCAGGCGGACGCGCGCGUGGGGUGUGAAAUCUGGCCGCUUAACGGCCAGGCGCCAUCCCAUACGGCGGGUCUGGAGUGAUGCAGAGGGCGGUGGAAUUGCCGGUGUAGUGGUGAAAUGCGUAGAGAUCGGGAAGAACACCAGUGGCGAAGGCGACGUGCUGGGUUGCACCUGACGCUGAGAUGCGAAAGCGUGGGGAGCAAACAGG